rnacentral:lncRNA from 1 species
AAUUGUUUUUAAAAAUAGCCCUUUUCAUUCUUUUUGAACAUGAAGAAGUGCUUCAUGCUCCUGUGACAGACAGAAAACUUGUACCAGACAUAGUGAUAAAGGCUGAGAAUCAUCAUUGUUCUUAUAUUUUUGUUUACCUAUUGAAGCAGCAAGGAUCUUUGUCUGAUAUUCUGAACCCCAGAGUCAUAUGAGAAGAAGAAAAAUGAAUGGAUGAAGGAAUAAGUCUCUUCUUCAACUCAGGAAAAAAGACAGCAAAUUAUUCUGUUGUAUUGAAAUACUACACAAUAUGCAUGUGAUGGGUUCCUGAUGCCCAGAGUUCUGGGCUCCUUGCCUUGCUGGAUCAUAUUAUCAUUAUGCUAAGCCAAUGGUUCCUCAUUUACUAUGGAGUAAAUGGAAAAAACAUCCCAAACACAGCAUCACAUGGAAUGUGGUUCAAAAUACUGACUGGGUAAUGAAUACUAUCAACAAAUAUAAUUUUAUGUUAGUAGAAAAAGAUAUUAGCUAAUUUUACAAACCUUGUAAUAUAUAACUACAAUAUGUUGAUUCUAUAGAAUUAUUGUAAAGCUACUGUAAACAAAGCAGCAGUGAGAUGC